ensembl:snRNA U2 U2 spliceosomal RNA
CUCCAUUCUCAGCCUUUUGGGUAAGAUCAAGUGUAGUAGUAUCUGUUUUUAUCAGUUUAAUAUCUGAUAUGUCCUCUACUCAAGGACACAAUCUAUAUUAAAUAGAUUUUUGGAACUAAGAGAUAGAAUAGGAGCUUGCCCCACCCACUCCACACAUCGACCUAGCAUUGCAGUACCUCCAGGAACAGUGUACCUCUA